rnacentral:rRNA from 1 species
UACGAAGGGACCUAGCGUAGUUCGGAAUUACUGGGCUUAAAGAGUUCGUAGGUGGUUGAAAAAGUUGGUGGUGAAAUCCCAGAGCUUAACUCUGGAACUGCCAUCAAAACUUUUCAGCUAGAGUAUGAUAGAGGAAAGCAGAAUUUCUAGUGUAGAGGUGAAAUUCGUAGAUAUUAGAAAGAAUACCAAUUGCGAAGGCAGCUUUCUGGAUCAUUACUGACACUGAGGAACGAAAGCAUGGGUAGCGAAGAGGAUUAGAUACCCUCGUAGUCCAUGCCGUAAACGAUGUGUGUUAGACGUUGGAAAUUUAUUUUCAGUGUCGCAGCGAAAGCAAUAAACACACCGCCUGGGGAGUACGACCGCAAGGUUAAAACUCAAAUGAAUUGACGGGGACCCGCACAAGUAGUGGAGCAUGUGGUUUAAUUCGAAGAUACGCGCAGAACCUUACCAACACUUGACAUGUUCGUCGCGACUCUAAGAGAUUAGAGUUUUCGGUUCGGCCGGACGAAACACAGGUGCUGCAUGGCUGUCGUCAGCUCGUGUCGUGAGAUGUUGGGUUAAGUCCCGCAACGAGCGCAACCCUCACUUUUAGUUGCCAUCAUUAAGUUGGGCACUCUGAAAGAACUGCCAGUGAUAAGCUGGAGGAAGGUGGGGAUGACGUCAAGUCCUCAUGGCCCUUACGUGUUGGGCUACACACGUGCUACAAUGGUAUCUACAACAGGAAGCAAGACGGCGACGUUAAGCAAAUCCUUAAAAGAUACCUCAGUUCGGAUUGCACUCUGCAACUCGAGUGCAUGAAGCUGGAAUUACUAGUAAUCGUGGAUCAGCGUGCCACGGUGAAUGCGUUCCCGGGUC